CUAGAAGAGACAUAGAUGCUGGAAAUUUUAGCCAAGUAAUAUCUAUAUCUUGAAAAAUCCGGAUGAAAUCUGAACCAGCUUCCCUGUCUGUUACUUUCACAGUUCUGUUGCUAUAAACAAAGUCAGCAGGUGACUCCUCAGCCGUCUCAGGGACAAAAUGCAAUGGCUCACACCAUGCAGAAGGUCCCCAGAGACGAGGACCACACCUUCCAUCUCUCAUCCUCUGCACUUACACAGCGUCUGGCAGAGAGUGGUGCAUGGAGGACAAAGGCCAGAAUGUGCAGCAUUAUCUGUGUGACAGUUCUCCCCAGUGGCUUGGAUCACUCCCUCUCGACAACACCAGAAGAUGGGGAAGGAGCGUGUUAUACAUCUCUGAUUUCCGACAUCUGUUACCCACCUCGAGAGGAGUCUACCUACUUCACUGGGAUUCUUCAGAAGGAAAACGGUCACAUCACUACUUCUGAGAGCUCGGAGGAGCUGGGGACCCCAGGACCCUCCUUACCAGAUGUGCCUGUGAUGGAGCCUCGUGGCUUAUUUAGUUCUGAUUCUGGAAUAGAGAUGACUCCUGCAGAGUCCACCGAAGUGAACAAGGUCCUAGCUGACCCUCUGGGCCAUAUGAAAGCAGAAGCCUGUAAGUACAUGGAUAUAACGAGGCCAGAGGAGGUGAAAUGUCAGGAGCAACAUCGCCCUGAGUUGGAGGAUAAAGACUUGGACUUUAAGAGCAAGGACACUGAAAUCUCAACAAAAGCAGGAGGCAUCCGAGAACCUGACAAACCAGCUCCUGUGGAGGGGAAAAUCAUCAAGGACCACUUGUUUGAAGAAUCCACCUUUGCUUCUUACAUAGAUGAUCUCUCUGAGGCCCAGCACAGUGCUCCUCUGGUCACGGCCCCCAUCAAAAUCACACUGACCGAAAUUGAACCUGCUGUCAUGACUGCUGUCCAAGACAAGACCCCAGAGAAGCAAGACGUCUGUCUGAAGCCAAGCCCUGACACAGUCCCCACCGUCACUGUUUCAGAGCCCGAAGAUGACAGCCCAGGAUCUGUCACUCCUCCAUCUUCUGGAACAGAACCAUCUGCUGCCGAGUCCCCAGGGAAAGGCGGCGGGUCGGAGGACGAGCUCGUGACUGCCAUCCAGGAAGCACAGGGGCUGUCCUUCGAGCCCGCGAGGGGCCCGGCGGCCGGGGGGCCCGAGGCCAAGGCCAGGUCGGGGCUGCCCACCCUGCCCGGGCCCCUGGACCACGAGGCGAGCAGCGCCGAGUCGGGGGACUCGGAGAUCGAGCUGGUGUCGGAGGACCCCCUGGCCGGCGAGGACGCGCUGCCCGCGGGGUUCGCGGCUUUCGGCUCUGGGGGCGGCCCCCCGCCGUCGCCCGCCUCCCCGGGAGUGCAGUACAGCCUGCUGCGCGAGGAGCGCGAGGCCGAGCUGGACAGCGAGCUCAUCCUCGAGUCGGGCGACGCCUCCUCGGCCUCGGAGGAGAGCCCCAAGCGCGAGCAGGACU
rnacentral:lncRNA from 1 species